CUGACUCAAAUUCUGAUGUGUACCUGUUAGAUAUGGAGCACAGACGGAUCUCCGUUGCAGCAACCUUGAUGGAUUAAUCAUCUGAUUUCUGUAGAGUGUGUUAACUGUAAAGCCAAGGUGAACUGCAUUUCUCCCUCUUACAUGAUAAAGUGACUGACUGAAGAAUCAGACAACAAUGUGGUCCAGGGUGUUUGUGUUUCUGAUUGGAGCUGUUUACAUCUACCAUCAGGUUCUUGCAUCAGAUGUAAAGGCCAUGAGGUUAAGCAAAGAUGAGAAGAAGUAUUCAAGAGGACUUUGGAACAAACAAGCAGGCAAUCCGAAUUCACUUACAAUAUUUUUUUAACAAACUUUACUUCUAACACAUGGAAAAUAUGUACAUGCUGUAAAUUUCAA